CUGAUCAGAAAGUCUGUGUAUAAAGCUACAGGUAUCAACUUAAACAAGGCUCUAUCACUAUCAAGAUCAGGAAAAUGUGGUUUCUGAUAUUAUUAGCUGCCUUGCCUCCCUUAUCAGUGGAUGCUAAAGAUCAUCCCCAACUACCUCCAUUACGAAACACAUACGAGGUACACAUUGAGAUGACGUCAGCCAGAGAGAAAAGGACC